UGGAGAGAAAGGCAGUUCCUGA
rnacentral:miRNA from 19 species